rnacentral:rRNA from 1 species
GAAGACCUGUCCUUAGUACGAGAGGACCGGGAUGGACGUACCUCUGGUGUACCAGUUGUCCUGCCAAGGGCAUGGCUGGGGAGCUAUGUACGGAAUGGAUAAGCGCUGAAAGCAUCUAAGCGCGAAGUCAACUUCAAGAUAAGAUUUCCCACCGCAAGGGUAAGACCCCAGAAAGACUAUCUGGUUGAUAGGUCGAAGGUGUAAGUGC